CCUACGGGAGGCAGCAGUGGUGAAUAUUUGGCAAUGGGCGCAAGCCUGACCCAGCAACGCCGCGUGAAGGAAGCAGGCCCUCGGGUUGUAAACUUCUUUUAUCAGGGACGAAACAAAUGACGGUACCUGAUGAAUAAGCCACGGCUAACUACGUGCCAGCAGCCGCGGUAAUACGUAGGUGGCAAGCGUUAUCCGGAUGUACUGGGUGUAAAGGGCGUGUAGGCGGGAGAGCAAGUCAGACGUGAAAUUCCAGGGCUCAACCCUGGAACUGCGUUUGAAACUGUUAUUGUUGAGUGAUGGCGAGGCAGGCGGAAUUCCGUGUGUAGCGGUGAAAUGCGUAGAUAUACGGAGGAACACCAGUGGCGAAGGCGGCCUGCUGGACAUUAACUGACGCUGAGGCGCGAAAGCGUGGGGAGCAAACAGGAUUAGAUACCCGAGUAGUC
rnacentral:rRNA from 1 species